ensembl:lncRNA
CGCCUCAUAGAGCAGCAAAGGCCAGAUCAGGUAUGCAAAUCUUUAAGUCUGAUAACCCCAAAUCCUUAGUUACAGUAAUAGUAGAGGAAAUAAGAUAUGCCACUGAGAAGAUAGGGAAACAGAGCUCCACAGUGUGACUUCCUCAAGCAACACAAGACAUCUCAGGAAGAGAAACACAGCCUUGUCUGGAUGCUGCCAUUUCAGUCCACAUGCACAUGAGCUGUGAAGGAUGAGGAUCACAAGGAUGGCCAAUACACAUCUCCUAGGUGCUCCAACAACAUCACUGCAAACGUUUCCAGAAUUGCUCUGAAAUUACCAUCUUGGAAGCCACUCUCUCUGGACUUGAAAGAUCAUAUUCAGCAAGGGUGUUGGCUCAUCCAUCCCUUGCCUCCUCCGAAUAAAUGUGAACCGAGUCAAGAAACACAGAACUGCAGCUGCUCUCCAGCAAACUCGUUUUACAAAAAUAAGAGGUGGAAAUCAUUGUAGCAGAAAUCUGAAUUCACUUGUUGCUAACACAGCGCUACCAGGCACAUCAAGGUGCAAGUUUAUCAUUCCUGUUUUUCUGGCCAGGUGUGCUUUUGCAUGGCUGUUUCCUCCUCAUAUGUGACUGAUUUGAUGGAGGACAGAUUAACAAAUGCCCUAUGUGCAUA